CCUACGGGAGGCUGCAGUAACGAAUCUUCCGCAAUGCGCGAAAGCGUGACGGAGCAAUGCCGCGUGCAGGAUGAAGCCCUUCGGGGUGUAAACUGCUGUCAGGGAUUAGGAACACAAUGACCAAUCCCAAAGGAAGAGACGACUAACUCUGUGCCAGCAGUCGCGGUAAUACAGAGGUCUCGAGCGUUAGUCGGAAUCAUUGGGCUUAAAGCGUACGUAGGCGGAUAUGCAGGCGUCGUGUGAAAGCCCCCGGCUCAACCGGGGAAUUGCACGGCGAACCGCAUGUCUUGAGACAAGUAGGGGCUGUCGGAACGAUAGGUGGAGUGGUGAAAUGCGUUGAUAUCUAUCGGAACGCCGAAGGUGAAAACAGACAGCUGGGCUUGUUCUGACGCUGAGGUACGAAAGCGUGGGGAGCGAACGGGAUUAGAUACCCUUGUAGU
rnacentral:rRNA from 1 species